ACAGUCUGUGGCAAGGACUGUGACGAAGCCUGUGACAAGCUGUGACAGAGAUUAUGAGAGAGUCUGCGGCAGGAUUUAUGACAUGGGCUGUGACAGAGGCUGUGCUAGAGACAGUGAUUCGGGUUGUGACUAGAACUGUAACAUGCUAUGGCGGGGCUGUGACAUGCUUCUGUGACACGGGCUCUGACAGAGGCUGUGAUAAAGGCAGUGACUGGGAGUUUGAUGGGGCUGGGAGAGAGACUGUGAUAGAGGCCGUGACAGACACUAUGACAGGGACUGUGGCAGGGCUGUGAUAAAGGCUGUGACAGAGGCUUCGAAAAGGACUGAGACAGAAACGUGACUAAAUCUGGAAGCACAGUCAGAGUUGGGACAACAGUUCCUGGAGCCUGGGCCCACACUCCCACGGUGACAGAGCAGUUGGCGGUGACAGCAGCAACACAGCACACACACGGGCCAGGCGUCUGUGAAGACGCGGCAGGCUGAGGCUGCCAUGUCACGGGAACGUGGUGACAGGGACGUGAGCGUGGCUGCUUUCUCCAGCGCUGCAGCAGACUCCUGUGUCCAUGGGCAGGCUCCUGGGGGCUGCUCUUUGCAUGUCCCCCAAAGGCCACGUCUGAAGGUUUGGUCGCCCGUCUGUGUGCUAUGGGAGGGCGUGGAACCUGUAGGGGUGGGGCCUAACCGUAGGAAGUUGCAUCAUUGGGGGCGUGGCCUGGCAGGGGUACUGGGAUUGGAGUUCCUCUGGUCUUCAGGAGAGAGCCCCUUCCUGCCCGUGGCUCCCAACUGUGAUGCUCUGAGCCACCACAGACUCAAAGGAUGGAGUGGAGAUCAUGCAGGAACCCAGUGAAAUUGUGAACCUAGGUAGACCUUUCUUCCUUUGUUUUUGUUUUUUUGAGACGAGGCCUUGUUACGUUGCCCAAGCUGGUCUUCAACUUCUGGGCCCAAGGGAUCGACCUGCCUCAGCUUCUCAAUGACAGAAAGCUGACUACCACACUGGCCCUCAGUUUUCUUGAAUCCGCCUACCUCAGGAGACAUUUAGGGUGAGAUGAUUAAAUCGAGGCUCGAAGAGGUUGACUAACUUCCCAAGCUCCAAGGUUAGAGGAAGAACGGGGCUUAAGGCCAGUCACGGGUGACCUAGUCUGUGCUCCUAUCCAUGAGCAGCUUCCGCAAUCACAGUUGCUGUUGUGUCAUAUAUUUUGAAGUUCACAGUCAAAAAUGUUUUCAGUGGAAAAGGAGCCUUCAUACUCGAGCUGGCAGGGACCUUCAGGAAAGCAGCUGUCUAAUUUGUGGACAUCUGGGAACGUCUGUCUCCUCUCUGGCUCCACCCCAGCACUAGACCGGGCAGUGGAGAUGAGCAGGAUGUGAAUUUCCACCCACAGUGCCAGAGAACUAUUAACAAUUUCAGGGACUAUGGUUGUUUUUGUACCUUUUGGUCAGGACCUUACUUCUGGCUUUUCAUAGAAGGCUACUCCUUUGUUCUCCUUGAGGGAUGAACUCUCAUUCUCCCCAACCUCCAUGGUCAGGAAGUGAGGUGGGGACUCCCUAAAGCUCCUUCCAGACCAUCGCCCUCCUGCCCAUAAAUGCACCCAGCCACCUGCUCCUCUGAGGCUCCCGUAGCCGACACCCACGGCUGUCAACCAAGCACCUGUCCUAGCUGGCUUCCUCCUUGCCUAACUCUUGCCCUCAUGGAGGAGGCCUCACGUGAACUCUGGCCCUGACUUCCGGUGCUCAGUGACCACCAACUCCAUGGCCUCAACCUAGAAAGACUUCACCUCUGAAAUCUGAAAUUCAGGCUCCCCAGCUGGACCUCAGCUCUGCUCCUUUCCCUUGCUUCUCACCCGUGUUGGUGUGAGAGCCAUGGAAGAACUUGUAAUGCCUGACUGCAUCCAAACCCUCAGCCUAAGAGCCUUGAAUAAACACUAGCAUAGUUCUCCUAGCUCAGCGCCGCAUCCCUACAGUGACAACUCCAGCCCCAUGUGGCUCCUGCCUGGGAAAGCUCAGGGCUGCCACAGUGAUUGACUGUUUUGGUCUACCCUGGAAGGUCUCUGUGUCCUGGUGUUUGUGAGAUGGGAGGACAUCCCAUCACUUUCAUGAGGGCCAGAUCACACACCCAGAUGGCCAAGCCACUUGGGCCAAACCCCCCUUUCUCCCUUCAUGCCUUUCCCCUGGUUCACCGAACCUUUAAAAAUGCUCCAGCCUCUUGUUUCAGAGAAGCAGAAUUCAGGACAUACUGGAUUCUCUUCUCUAUUGCAGUAGUUAACACUGAACAAAAUCGGUCCUACAAGUAUCUGGCUUUGUUUUUCUUUGACAAUAGUGUGUUCUGCCCACCCAUCUCUCCUGCCUGCAAUCCUUCCCCUCCUCAGCAUAGGUCCGAAGAUCCACUAUUUCUACCUUCUCUUGUCUCAUCAACCUUUUGCUCUAUCAACCUGGAAACCUCAGCUCUGUGUCAGUCUAACCCAUGACCCUCUCUGCUAUAGCAUCGCCAUGAGGCCACCUGACAAAACCAUACAGAUUUGUGCUUCCUCAAAUUCAUGAUUUCUC